CUGCUGCCUCCCGUAGGAGUUUGGGCCGUGUCUCAGUCCCAAUGUGGCCGUCCACCCUCUCAGGCCGGCUACUGAUCGUCGCCUUGGUGGGCCGUUACCCCGCCAACAAGCUAAUCAGACGCGGGUCCAUCUUAUACCACCGGAGUUUUUCACACUGGGCCAUGCAGCCCCGUGCGCUUAUGCGGUAUCAGCACCUAUUUCUAAGUGUUAUCCCCCUGUAUAAGGCAGGUUACCCACGCGUUACUCACCCGUCCGCCACUAAG
rnacentral:rRNA from 1 species